UACGUAGGGGGCAAGCGUUGUCCGGAAUCAUUGGGCGUAAAGGGCGUGUAGGCGGCCUGGUAAGUCCGCUGUGAAAGUCCAGGGCUCAACCCUGGAAUGCCGGUGGAAACUGUCAGGCUCGAGUCCGGAAGAGGCGAGUGGAAUUCCUGGUGUAGCGGUGAAAUGCGCAGAUAUCAGGAGGAACACCGGUGGCGAAGGCGGGUCUCUGGGCCGAUACUGACGCUGAGGAGCGAAAGCGUGGGGAGCGAACAGG
rnacentral:rRNA from 1 species